rnacentral:rRNA from 1 species
ACACUCCUGCGGGAGGCAGCAGUGGGGAAUAUUGCACAAUGGGCGCAAGCCUGAUGCAGCCAUGCCGCGUGUAUGAAGAAGGCCUUCGGGUUGUAAAGUACUUUCAGCGGGGAGGAAGGCAAUACGGUUAAUAACCGUGUUGAUUGACGUUACCCGCAGAAGAAGCACCGGCUAACUCCGUGCCAGCAGCCGCGGUAAUACGGAGGGUGCAAGCGUUAAUCGGAAUUACUGGGCGUAAAGCGCACGCAGGCGGUCUGUCAAGUCGGAUGUGAAAUCCCCGGGCUCAACCUGGGAACUGCAUUCGAAACUGGCAGGCUUGAGUCUUGUAGAGGGGGGUAGAAUUCCAGGUGUAGCGGUGAAAUGCGUAGAGAUCUGGAGGAAUACCGGUGGCGAAGGCGGCCCCCUGGACAAAGACUGACGCUCAGGUGCGAAAGCGUGGGGAGCAAACAGGAUUAGAAACCCCGGUAGUCCCAU